CCCCCUGGGAUGAGGUAGUAGAUUGUAUAGUUUUAGGGUCAUACCCGGUCUUGGAGAUAACUA
rnacentral:miRNA from 1 species